GGCUAAUUAGCAUAAACAUACACGUCUAACUUCAGUCCACUUUAUACAAUCAUAUACAAAUCAAAUCUAAACUACACUAAACCAUUGCGUCUACAUUACUUAGGCAUCAACAUAUAACAGUCCAAACAGGUAGAGUUCCAUAAGUGCAAGGUAAACAUUUCUCCUUUGCAUUUCCACUUCAAAUUCAGUAUCAGUGCAUCAGGAGAGAAACAAAUACCUGGAUUUGAACAAUACAAGAAGAAGGAAAAGAGGUCAGCUGCAGCAAACGUAACAGCAGUAACCCAGCAACAGUUCACUAGCCGCAAAAUACCACAGCAAAUAAGAGUAACAUCACAGUUAUUCCUCAACCCCAGGAAUGAUUCAAACGACCCAAGAAAACAGCAGAAACCAAAGGAUUGACCCACAGCAAAACCAAAAAAAAACCAGAAUGAACUCCAGAAAAACCAACAACAACACCAAACAAAACCAGUAGCUAAUUGAACCCCAAACCCUUUAAAAUCAAACCGAAAAACAACCUGAGUUUCAAUUAAACAGUAACAACACUCAAAAUCAUUCCUCUCCCAAACUCACUCUCAAACUCUUAAAGUUUCAAAGUAUGGAAGAAUUCAGCUUUUAAGCUUUCAAGAAAACUGAUCCUUAAACUCUCAAAAAGAAACUGAAAGGAAACUGAUCUCUGUUGUUUUCCCAAUCAGCCUGAAUGGCUAUUUUUUUUCUUUUUCCUUUUUCUAACCUCUCUUUCUCUAGUCUCUUUAUCUUAGUGUGUUUUUCCUCUCCAAGCUUAAGACCUUCUUCUCCCUUUUUAUUCCGCUCUCCAAUUUUCAAUCACCCUUUGUUUUUCGGAUUUUUUUUAGGCCUUAGUGGGUAGUUAAUCAUUCUUAAAUUGGUCCUUUUAAAACAAAAAGUAGUCUUCCACUAAUAGUUGUCUAUUAACUAUUCAAUCCCACUUAGAAUGUCUCUCUUUUGACUAAUCCAUUAGUGUAUUACUCAUUAUCUAGUGGCCCCCUUAAUCCCAUUAUUAUUAAACUAAAGCAUUAGUUUAAUUUAAAAGGCACAUCAAGACCCUACUGGACAGACCACUCAAUUAAAGCAUUUUUCAAGUUUUGACACCCCAAAUUACCCUUGAAACCCCCUGUAAUUUAUUGCCUUAAUUCAAUCAGUUACAGUGCAGUGAACUGAACCAGUUCUCUAAAAAUCAAUAGCUAAACAAGACCAACAAAUUAACUACUACCAUUAAGACAAACUGUUACAAUCAGUAUUCAAAAACAGAAGCCAACCUACUAAAACACAAUGAACUGAAACUAAUUAACAUAGUAAAACUGAAUUCAGUAUCAAAUUCCAACUUGCAUUCAGAUUGGACAAAACAGUAUCCAAAUUUGAAUUAAUACAAAAAUACAUCAGUCCUAUGCAAAAUGCAGGAUUAUUAACAGUUCUAAAGGCCUAAGGAUCAAAAUAUAACAUAUUCGACAUCAAACCAUGAGAAUAAACGAACUACAAAUAAAACUAAAUUAAUCGACGAUAACUAAUUAAUCGAUUGCAUAUAACUAUUGACAACAAACAAUAAGAAAUAGAUAAACAGACAAUUUACGGGGCAUUGACAAAAAUAGGGAUUUAUAAUAAAAACUUAAUUAAUCGACGAAACUAUUCGAAUCGAUUAUACAACCUAUAAUAUAUACUCAGCAACGAACAGAAGUAAAUUUGACCAAAUAAAAAGGUCUGAGUGAGAAGAACAGAACAAUUGACAAAAAUGAAAAAAUUAAUAUAACAACUCUAAACAAAUAAACAGACAUUUAAAACAUCAAAAAUAGAAUAAAAGGAAAGAAAGAAAAAUACCUUAAAUGGAACAGAGAACAGACGGACUUGAAUUGACUCGGACUUGAACUUUUUGAGGUCAAACGGACCUUAAUCGAGUAUUCUCAACUUAGAACACUUCGACUAAGGUCAGUUAAACACCCAAAUUCCCUUCAAUUUCGGAUAGAAACCAGUUUUGGUUUUCUAGGGUUCCUACGUUUCGAUUUGGGGUUCGAGUGUUUCUAGCCAGAUUCGACCCAAACCAAAGGUGGUUUGGGCACGAGGGAGGUCAGGGGGUGCCAGGGUAUGAAUUUGGGCUUGGUUGGGGUAGGUUCGAGUUCUGCUCGAAUCUUCAAAUGGAGAUUCGAGAAGUUCCAAGUUGAUUCGAGGCAAGUGGUUCAUGGAUUUGGAUCGGGGGUGGUUAAAUGCAUAAGGGGUGUCAAUUUGGUGACCGACGGCGUUGCUGCCGCCGGGUUUCAGGCGAAGGAGUGCCAUGGCGGCUAGGGUUUGGUGAAGGAGGCUUCGUCUCUGAGAGAGAUGAUAAUGAACAG
rnacentral:lncRNA from 1 species